AUGGGGUUGGGGCUUUUGGCGGGGCUGAGGAGGCCAAGGAGGCUCGCUCAACUGAGGAGGCUGGGGAGGCUGGGGCUUUUGGCGGGGCUGAGGAGGCCAAGGAGGCUCGCUCAACUGAGGAGGCUGGGGUUCUCGGGGGGGCUGAGGAGGCCAGGGAGGCUGGGGUUCUCGGGGGGGCUGAGGAGGCUCGCUAGGCUGCGCGGGCCGGUGGGGCCGAGGUGGCUGAGGAGACUGGCUAAACUGAGGGGGCUGGCAGAAGGGAGGAGGCCGGAGGGGCUGAGGUGUCCGGUGGCGCUGGGGAGGCCCUCCCAACUGAGGAGGCCGGCGGGGCCGAGGAGCUUGCUGGGGGCGGAGGAGGCCGGGCAGCUCCUCCGUCGCUCGCCCCCCCCCGCCCCCGCCCCCGAUCCUCUCCCACCCGCCGCCUCGGCGCGCGGGCCCGCGGGCGCCGCCGCGAGCGCGGGCGCGGGGGCGGCGCGAGCCCCGGAGGCGGGCACGCGCGCUGACGUCUGGCCGUGUCACGCACGGAGCGCCGGGUUACGCGCCGACGUCUGGCUGCCACGACUUGCCGUUUGCGGCGAGCGGAGCCCGGAGGGCAAAGGAGGAGGAGGAGGAGGAGGAGGAGGAGGGAAAGGGAAGCCGGGGGGCUGCGAGGGCCGCGACCGAGCGGCGGGCUCUGACCGGGGCCUGCCCCCCCCCCCCCCCCGCCCACCCGGAGCCGAGUCACCUUCCCCCUCCCUCGUCCCUCCCCUCCCGCCCCCUUCCUCUCCUCCCCCCGGCCCUCCCUCCUCCUCCUCCCCUCCCUCCUCCCGCCGCCCGCCCGCCCGCCCGCCGCCUCAGCCGCAGCUCGCGCCGCCCGCCCGCCCGCCCGCCCGGGACAGGUGCGCGCGCGCUCCCUCGCCCUCACCUGCUGCUGCAGGACAGCGCCCGGGUAAGCCCGCCGCGCGGCCCUUCGUCCGUCCGUCCUCCCGCCCCCUCCUCCUCCUCUUCCUCUCUCCUCCCCCCCCCCCCCCCCCGCCGCCACUGCGGCCCCGCUGCACCCAGACCCCCGCCGCUCGGCGCCUGUGCACCGCCCCGGGGCCGCCGCCGCCGCCGCCGCCGUCGUCGUCCCCUCCACCCCGCCUCUUCCUCCGCCCUCGGUGA
rnacentral:lncRNA from 1 species